rnacentral:rRNA from 1 species
GACGGAGGAUGCAAGCGUUAUCCGGAAUGAUUGGGCGUAAAGCGUGCGUAGGUGGCAGUGCAAGUCUGCUGUGAAAGACCGGGGCUUAACUUCGGAAAGGCAGUGGAAACUGAAUAGCUAGAGUAUGGUAGGGGCAGAGGGAAUUCCUGGUGUAGCGGUGAAAUGCGUAGAGAUCAGGAAGAACAUCGAUGGCGAAGGCGCUCUGCUGGACCAUAACUGACACUCAGGGACGAAAGCUAGGGGAGCGAAUGGG